rnacentral:ncRNA from 1 species
UCUUAUCAAGAGAGGUUGAGGGACUGGCCCUAUGAAACCCAGCAACAGCUAAUUUUUCAUUUGAAUUAGAAAUGUGCUAAUUCCAGCAGGAGAUUUUCCUGAAAGAUAAGA